rnacentral:lncRNA from 1 species
AAUAAUUCAAUGUUGUUGACGUGAUCUGCAUAACUCCUCCACCCUCAUGUGUGUUAUAUGUAAACCCAUCUCCUUUUAUUAAAAUUUCAUCAGAACCCAUCCCAUUUUACUUCACAUUUAAUUUUUAUUUUUUUACAUCUUUCUUUUCUUUAAUUAUCUUCCCAUUUCCGAUACAGUCUCCUUCAUUCCAUUUAUAGUCAGUCAACUUUCCAUCUUCUACAUUCCACCAUCCAACUUUCCCACUUUCCCAUUUUAACCACACAACUUUUCUGCAUAUCUAAUUCAGCCACCCAUCUUUUCCAUUACUUCCAUUAUGCCCCCUAUCAUUCCUUCUUCCAAAAAAAUACUUAAAAUAAAAAAAUAUAAUAAAAUAAAAUCUGGUACUAAUUAAUUGAA